GAGGGCUGAAGGCGGUGCCUGGCUUGUGGGUGCUCACAAAGGUGCCAUCUGCUGUACAUGUCACCAGGAUUCCAUGUGGUCUGUGGCUCUCUGGAAAGCCCAGCCCAUCCUCCUCACAGAGAAACCACGUGUAGGAGGUGGUUGAUCAGCCGUAUGGGGCAGUGACCCAAACUCCAAGACCCGGAGCCACCCAUGUUAAGCCACAGAUUUGGGAAAGAAGAGAUGUUAUUUCUGGAAACUUGGAAGCCGGGCCUGUGUCUGCUGUCUGCCAGGUGAGGACGCAGUGCGAAGAUGGCAGCCUGCGAGCCGGAAAGGGGACUCUCGCGAGACUCUGAGCGAGCUGGCAUCCUGACCUCAGACUUCCGGCCUGCAGACCUGGGGACGUCUGCUGUUUUAGCUGCCUGCCUUGGGGUCUAUCCCUGUGGCAGCCUGAGCUGAGACAGAAGUCAUUUCCUAAGGUCAGAAGCUCAGAAUAAAG
rnacentral:lncRNA from 1 species